rnacentral:rRNA from 1 species
UACGAGGGGGGCGAGCGUUGUUCGGAAUCACUGGGCGUAAAGAGUGCGUAGGCGGUUAUGAAAGUUAGGAGUGAAAGCCCCAGGCUCAACUUGGGAAUUGCUCUUAAUACUCCAUGACUCGAAUUCGGGAGAGGAUAGCGGAAUUGUCAGUGUAGCAGUGAAAUGCGUAGAUAUUGACAGGAACACCAGUGGCGUAAGCGGCUAUCUGGACCGACAUUGACGCUGAGGCACGAAAGCGUGGGGAUCAAACAGG